AAGAGAGAUUAGGGGACGUUCUGCACAGUUGUGGGGCCUCAGAAGAUAGGAUCUGUGAUGACCUCCGCCAUGGCCUGGUAUACUCUCCUCUUCACCCUCCUUGCUCACUGCACAGCAUCCUGGGCCCAGUCUGUGCUGACUCAGCCAUCCUCACUGUCUGGGUCUCUUGGCCAGAGAGUCACCAUCUCCUGCACUGGAGGCAGCACCAACAUUGGUGAUGGUUAUAGUGUGUACUGGUACCAACAGCAUCAGGGAAAGGCCCCUAAAACAAUCAUCUAUGGUACUAGCUCUAGACCCUCAGGGGUCCCUGAACGGUUUUCUGGCUCUAAAUCUGGCAACACUGGCUCCCUCACCAUCACUGGACUCAAGACUGAGGAUGAAGCUGAUUAUUACUGCUUAUCAUGGGACAAGAGUCUCAAUGGUCACACAGUGUUCCGGGUCUGUGAGGAAGUGAGACAAAAACCUGCUGUUUCCCCAGCAAUGGAGGUUACCUCGCAGCCUACAGUUCUUGGCCAUAUCAGCUACUUCCUUUGUUUAUUCUAA